GUCUCGAUUGAUUUUGUGUAUGGCACAUUUGCUGCCCAUCUGACUGAGCAUAACAACUGGUCGUCCCACCUGGGUAGGCCUCAGCAUAUUUUUACUCCACAAAGUGAAGACAAGAGUCCUUCUGUCAAUCCCUUAUUUGUUUCAGGCUGGGAUCUCUGCAAUCAGCUAGUGCUUCCAUCAAACCCUGGUUUUCGUUUUUUUUUUACGAAUCUUCUAGGAUCAACAUACCAAGAGACGUAUGUCGCGUCAUGCGCCGAUAAAGCUUCGGAAGGGUGUACAAUCACGAGUAUCAUGGGGAAGCUGGUGACCCUUCGUUACCAUCCAAAGCAAGGACGACCAUAAGAGAGAGAAAAACCUUUCAAGGACACCUUCUGAUAACUAAAGUUAUGAUUGCAGCUGCUACAAACCGAUGCUGGCCGAAGGCAGAAUUGCUACGUGGCUUGCACAAGCCCAAUCCAAGUUGGACAAAAUGAAUCAGCCAUCAACACCAGCUUCCCCAGUUACAACUACAAUCAACAAUAACUGUGAAGAUGAACCUCACGAAGGGGAUAGGCCUAUACUUGGAUAGAUCAGAAUAUAGUAGCGACAAAAAUUUUCAUAAAACUUGUCUACUUGUUUAAUUUACUCUCAUCAUAAUCAAUAAAUUAGUAAUUGAUUAUAAUCACGGGUUUUAAU
rnacentral:lncRNA from 1 species